AGUGAGACUACCAUAGGGUCUAGCACUUGUUGUUCUGAGUUCACAUUCCUCAAGCAACAACCUUCUUGGUCCUCUUGCCUGUUAACUUGCUUUGUUUCUUUCAUUUUGAUUUCAAGUUGUUUUUUUCAUCCGUUUCUGCAAAAAGUAGACGUGAUGACAGAGGACAUUUUAAGUGGAGCGAGGUGUGGAUCUAACACGAGCGAAAGGCUGGACACAUCAAGCACCACCAGGUGUGCCGAAGGAAGACGCGCACCCAUGAAUUUUCUCCUUCAUUCCACCGGAGUCUGUCGUUUGUCAUAUCAGAUUUCAGUGGGGUGAAGUUUAAAACACAUGGGACUCUCCCACCUCUCCAGCCUCAGCCAUGGCAUCCAGGUUCACCUCAUCCAGGGAUUGUAACUGGACUUAUAGAUAGAUAGAUCGAUAGAUAGAUAGAUACUUUAUUGAUCCCCAAGGGGAAAUUCAAGAAUGAAUGUAUUGAUAUUAAAUGUUCACUGCCUACACAGUACAAACUACACAGUACUAAGUAAUGACUAUUUCCACCAAUAGUCAUUAUUUUAUUCAUGCAGAAUUGUAAUGUAGUAACGUAAGCAGUGUCCACUUGUGUGGUUGUGUUGGCGCAGCUCUUUAGCAGCUGGUGUCAGCUCAGAUCAGUAGAGGCAAGGCUAGUGCAAUGUGCACUCCCCUUCGCCAUCUACCCCAUGCCGCCGUUCAAAGAGGGACGCCAUUUGCACACAUUGUCAAGAAGCCUUUCACUUUACGGUGCUCCGUUUGAUGCAGUCCGCCCCUCCCAAAUCACUCCAAACGCUAGGUGGAGAGGCAGUGGUUCACCCUGGGGUCUUGUAAAGUUCAUCCAAGAAAGUAAGCCCCCACCCCCAUACAUUGUGUCUGAGCUCUAAGUUCUUGUCUUUAACCAUCUCCAUUAAACAUACUGCAAAAGUAUUGUACUCAUAAUACUUCCGCAAUGUGUGUGUGUGUGUGUGUGUGUGUGUGAGCGUUUCUUUUUACCUCCUGCAGGGGGCAAAUUCCCCUGUUUGCCCCUGCUUUCAUUUCCCUGCCCUGCUGCCACUAAUUAGCCAGUAUGUGCCAGGGUGCCCCUACACUAAUGCAGAGCAAGUUUAAGGUUUCAGGUGCUAUCCCAACGUGCCUUACUUUCACACACCCGUGCAGAAAAUCCUAUUUAGUGUGGCUACUUAAAGCUUAACGCCAUUACUCCCCAGCCACACAUAAUAAAGCGAGAUCAAUUCCUGGAAACAGAGGCUGGCAGGCAAAAGGAGAUUUGGAGCUUGUUGAUAUGCCUGUUUGAAGUCAGUCUAACUGAUCCCUCCUGCUGUAAGCUUUUGCUAUCUGUGUGUUUUUAAAUAAAGAAUUGACAUGAAAAGUAA